UACGUAGGGGGCAAGCGUUGUCCGGAAUCAUUGGGCGUAAAGAGCGCGUAGGCGGCCCUGUAAGUCCGCUGUGAAAGUCAAGGGCUCAACCCUUGGAUGCCGGUGGAUACUGCAGGGCUAGAGUCCGGAAGAGGCGAGUGGAAUUCCUGGUGUAGCGGUGAAAUGCGCAGAUAUCAGGAAGAACACCCGUGGCGAAGGCGGCUCACUGGCCCGGUACUGACGCUGAGGUGCGAAAGCGUGGGGAGCAAACAGG
rnacentral:rRNA from 1 species